GGAAGUGGUAAACCGAGAACGGAAGGUAAACCUGAGAACAACGAACUCUCUAUCUCCCUUGUUUUUCAAGAAGGUAAACCCAGUUUUUCAAAGAAGGUUUUUCAAUGUAAGGUUGCAUCUCUCUCUCUCUCUCUCUCUCUCUCUCUCCCCUAAUUUUCAAAGAAGGUAAACCCUACAUCGAACGGCGAACUCUACGAACUGGAAGAAGAAAGCCGGAAGGUAUUAAAGAAACCCCAGAAUGAUGCAUUAGCAAGCAGUAAAAUGGAUAUUAAAAUAUAUCUAAGGAACAAAGAAAUACAAGUUGUACUAUCAAGGUUCUUCCCUUAGGCCUCAUGGUUACUUUGAUGCAGAUUCGAGUGGUGACUAUGAUGAUAGUAAAUCUACUUCGCGUUUCAUUUUCACACUUGGUGAAUGUGCUAUAUCAUGGUGCAAUAAAAAACAAGAUUGUGUUGUUUUAUCAACCAUGGAAGCAGAAUAUGUGGCUUGCAGUUUAGCAUCACAAGAGGCUGUUCGGUUGAGAAAUUUCCUUAUGGAUUUACAGUUAGAAUGCAUUGAAAAUGAGCUUAUAAAUAUGUUUUGUGAUAAUCAAGCAGCCAUUGUCGUUC